GGGUUAGUGGCGGACGGGUGAGUAACGCGUGAGAAUCUGCCCUCAGGAGGGGGAUAACAGCUGGAAACGGCUGCUAAUACCCCAUAUGCCGCGAGGUGAAAUGAAUUUCGCCUGAGGAUGAGCUCGCGUCUGAUUAGCUAGUUGGUGUAGGUAAAGGCUCACCAAGGCAUCGAUCAGUAGCUGGUCUGAGUGGAUGAUCAGCCACACUGGGACUGAGACACGGCCCAGACUCCUACGGGAGGCAGCAGUGGGGAAUUUUCCGCAAUGGGCGAAAGCCUGACGGAGCAACGCCGCGUGAGGGAUGAAGGCCUCUGGGCUGUAAACCUCUUUUAUCAAGGAAGAAGAUCUGACGGUACUUGAUGAAUAAGCCACGGCUAAUUCCGUGCCAGCAGCCGCGGUAAUACGGGAGUGGCAAGCGUUAUCCGGAAUUAUUGGGCGUAAAGCGUCCGCAGGCGGCCCAGAAAGUCUGCUGUUAAAACGUGGAGCUUAACUCCAUCAUGGCAGUGGAAACUGUUGGGCUUGAGUGUGGUAGGGGCAGAGGGAAUUCCCGGUGUAGCGGUGAAAUGCGUAGAUAUCGGGAAGAACACCAGUGGCGAAGGCGCUCUGCUGGGCCAUCACUGACGCUCAUGGACGAAAGCCAGGGGAGCGAAAGGGAUUAGAUACCCCUGUAGUCCUGGCCGUAAACGAUGAACACUAGGUGUCGGGGGAAUCGACCCCCUCGGUGUCGUAGCCAACGCGUUAAGUGUUCCGCCUGGGGAGUACGCACGCAAGUGUGGAACUCAAAGGAAUUGACGGGGGCCCGCACAAGCGGUGGAGUAUGUGGUUUAAUUCGAUGCAACGCGAAGAACCUUACCAGGGUUUGACAUCCUGCGAACCUCUUGGAAACGAGAGGGUGCCUUCGGGAGCGCAGUGACAGGUGGUGCAUGGCCUGUCGUCAGCUCGUGUCGUGA
rnacentral:rRNA from 1 species